CUGAGAUUUAAUGUGAAUAAAGGAUCUUCAGAGCAAAAAAUUACUGACUUUUUGCUCAGAUGGUAGCAGAAAAACCACGAUGGUGGAAGGCCCAAAUUUCUGACUGUUUGGGAGAAACAGACUUCAAUUUCCCCCAUUCAAUCGAUCCUUAG
rnacentral:lncRNA from 13 species